UAGAGUUUGAUCCUGGCUCAGAGCGAACGCUGGCGGCAGGCCUAACACAUGCAAGUCGAGCGCCCCGCAAGGGGAGCGGCAGACGGGAGAGUAACACGUGGGAACGUACCCUUCGGUUCGGAACAACCCAGGGAAACUUGGGCUAAUACCGGAUACGUCCGAAAGGAGAAAGAUUUAUCGCCGAGGGAUCGGCCCGCGUCUGAUUAGCUAGUUGGUGGGGUAACGGCCCACCAAGGCGACGAUCAGUAGCUGGUCUGAGAGGAUGAUCAGCCUCACUGGGACUGAGACACGGCCCAGACUCCUACGGGAGGCAGCGGUGGGGAAUAUUGGACAAUGGGCGCAAGCCUGAUCCAGCCAUGCCGCGUGGGUGAUGAAGGCCCUAGGGUUGUAAAGCCCUUUCGGCGGGGAAGAUAAUGACGGUACCCGCAGAAGAAGCCCCGGCUAACUUCGUGCCAGCAGCCGCGGUAAUACGAAGGGGGCUAGCGUUGCUCGGAAUCACUGGGCGUAAAGCGCACGUACGCGGCUUGUUAAGUCAGGGGUGAAAUCCUGGAGCUCAACUCCAGAACUGCCUUUGAUACUGACGAGCUUGAGUCCGGGAGAGGUGAGUGGAACUGCGAGAGUAGAGGUGAAAUUCGUAGAUAUUCGCAAGAACACCAGUGGCGAACGCGGCUCACUGGCCCGAUACUGACGCUGAGGUGCGAAAGCGUGUGGAGCAAACAGGAUUAGAUACCCUGGUAGUCCACGUCGUCACGAUGGAUGCUAGCCCAUCGCCGGUUUACUCGUCAGUAGCGCAGCUCCCGCUGAGCUCUCGCCUGGGGAGUAAGUCGCAGCUUCAA
rnacentral:rRNA from 1 species